rnacentral:lncRNA from 1 species
AUAUUGAAUGUUAUAUAGCAGAAGGAAAAUAUGAUGUUGCAUGUGAAAGCAUGCCUUAUACAAGUCACACUAUACCCGAUGAAGAAUACAAUCCACCACAGAAGGCUACUGCAUAUGAAUCUGUGCCAUUUGAUAUUGGAUUGAAGAUCGUCAUGACCGCAAUUGAACAUCCAUUUUGGACCUUUCAUACGCUACAACAACGAUAUAAAAAAUAUUUACAUUAUGAUUCUGAUAUUGCACGAUACAAAAAAGAUGUUUUGUCAGGUGGAAAUUACAGGGACAAGCUACAGUCAAUAAAAAAGAAUGUGCACAAUCGUUUGUAGAAGCAAGGGCAAAUACGCAGUUUGUAACACGACAUAUACUUCAGCAGUGGACCAUGGCUGCAGCUGCUCGAUAUAAUGACAAUCAAGAGGAUAGCAAAGAACAUGAAAAUGUUUUCCAUUUUGUAGCAUCGAGCUUGUGGUUAACUUUGUUUCUAUGUGAGCAUAAAAUUUCAAAUCGCAAAGUCAUCCGGUACCUUUCGAAAAAAAGAUAACAUCAUCAGAAGCUAUUAUAGAAUCAGCAACAAAUUUUCAAUGAUUGAUUCAAGCAAUUUCUCCAGACUACAAUCCUGAUUUUAUAAUUAAUACAGAUCAAACAGGUUGCAAAUACAGAAUGAAUGUUCGCAAGCUUAUACGCACACAGGAGAGAAGUUAGUCGAACUUUACAUCGGAGAUUUGA